rnacentral:rRNA from 1 species
GAUGAACGCUAGCUACAGGCUUAACACAUGCAAGUCGAGGGACCGGCGCACGGGUGAGUAACACGUAUCCAACCUUCCCUUUACUCGGGGAUAGCCUUUCGAAAGAAAGAUUAAUACCCGAUAUAAAGGAUGGGGAUGCGUUACAUUAGGUUGUUGGUGAGGUAACGGCCCACCAAGCCUUCGAUGGAUAGGGGUUCUGAGUGGAAGGUCCACCAGAUCGGAACGGAGACACGGUCCAAAAUCGGACGGGAGGCAGCAGUGAGGAAUAUUGGUCAAGGGGCGUUAGCCUGAACCAGCCAAGUAGCGUGAAGGAUGAAGGCUUAUGGGUCGUAAACUUCUUGGAUAUAAGAAUAUGUAUUAGAUGAAUAAGGACCGGCUAACUCCGUGCCAGCAGCCGCGGUAAUAC